UUGACCUCGCUUCGGUCAC
rnacentral:rRNA from 1 species